UACGAAGGGGGGCUAGCGUUUGUUCGGAAUUACUGGGCGUAAAAGCGCACGUAGGGCGGAUUGUUAAGUCAGGGGUGAAAUCCUGGAGCUCAACUCCAGAACUGCCUUUGAUACUGAGGAUCUUGAGUUCGGGAGAGGUGAGUGGAACUGCGAGUGUAGAGGUGAAAUUCGUAGAUAUCGCAAGAACACCGGUGGCGAAGGCGGCUCACUGGCCCGAUACUGACGCUGAGGCACGAAAAGCGUGGGGAGCAAACAGGGAUUAGAAAACCC
rnacentral:rRNA from 1 species